GACGAACGCUGGCGGCGUGCUUAACACAUGCAAGUCGAACGAUGAAGCUGGAGCUUGCUCCGGUGGAUUAGUGGCGAACGGGUGAGUAACACGUGAGCAAUCUGCCCUUGACUCUGGGAUAACUGCGGGAAACUGUAGCUAAUACCGGAUACGACACCUUGGGGCAUCCCAGGGUGUGGAAAGAAUUUCGGUCAAGGAUGAGCUCGCGGCCUAUCAGCUAGUUGGUGAGGUAAUGGCUCACCAAGGCGACGACGGGUAGCCGGCCUGAGAGGGUGACCGGCCACACUGGAACUGAGACACGGUCCAGACUCCUACGGGAGGCAGCAGUGGGGAAUAUUGCACAAUGGGCGAAAGCCUGAUGCAGCAACGCCGCGUGAGGGAUGAAGGGCCUUCGGUUGUAAACCGUCUUUAGUCAGGAAGAAGCGAAAGUAGACGGUACCGUGC
rnacentral:rRNA from 1 species